rnacentral:misc_RNA from 1 species
AAAAAAACACCGAAAGUGUUUUAUGAAGAACAUCAAUGUUGACUGAGAUAGAUUACCAUCCAAUUAAUACAUAUAAGCAUUGAAAAUCUUGCAGUUGCGGAAAGAAGUUAUUACCUUUUCAACCAUCAACACCUCAAUAAUAAAUUACGCAACACCGUUCAUAUUAGGCCAUAUGAAAUGACGUUUUCAUAUUCCAAUUAAUGUGUAUCUUGAGUUUGCCUCUUCAAAUAAGCAUUCUCAAAUAUGAUAAAUAACCAUUAACACGCGGUUUUGAUUUGUCUUUGCAGGUUGACUUCGGUAUCCCCGUAU